rnacentral:rRNA from 1 species
GAAGUCCACUGAACCUUAUCAUUUAGAGGAAGGAGAAGUCGUAACAAGGUUUCCGUAGUUGAACCUAUGAAAUGAUCAUUGUCAAAAAUUGCUAAGUGGAGCGACCCAUGGAAAUGUUGAAAUAAAUCGUCGGGGGUGCAGCACCUAAUGUGGCAUGGCACCCUCUACUGCCGACCAAGCUUGAGCCCUAUAGUCUACUCCAAGAGCAGCAUUGGGCGUUUCGGGUUAGGCUUUGCACAAGAACAAACUCCAGCGCUUAUCGCACCAAGGAACAGUAACAUAGCAUCCGUUGCCUUGUUGUCCGAUGCUCGGUGAGUGAGGUGGUGACCUUUUGUAUCUGAAUGACUCUCGGCAACAAAUAUCUCAACUCUCGCAUCAAUGAAGAACAUAGCAAAAUGUGAUACUUGGUGCAAAUUACAGAAUCCCAUGAACCAUCGAGUAUCUGAACGUAGGGUGGGCCCGAAGUCUCUAGGCUGAGGGCACGUUUGCCCUGGGCGUCAUGGAUGGUGUCGGCCCCAACCAAGCCAUUGUGUCUCUACAAGCUACGUUGGGAUAGAGAGUGGCCUCCCAUGCGUUGUUGUGUGGUUGGCCUAAAAUCGGAGCUCGGGGACUGCGCCACGACGUUUCGGUGGUCGACAAGGUGAAGGCAAAGGUUGCAUCGUGUUGCGCUCAGCACAUCGCUCAUGAAUCUCGCGUGGCCCCACCGUCUUGUCCGUAUAGCACAAAGCAGUGACCCCAGGUCAGGUGGGGCUACCUACUGAGUUUAAGCAUAUCAAUAAGUGGAGGAAAAGAAACUUACAAGGAUUCCCCUAGUAAUGGCGAGUAAACUAGGAAGUGCCUAGCUUUAGAAUCAGGUGGCUCUAUCGUUUGAAUUGUAGUCUGGAGAAGCG